rnacentral:rRNA from 1 species
AUUGAACGCUGGCGGCAUGCCUUACACAUGCAAGUCGAACGGUAACGGGCCUUCGGGUGCCGACGAGUGGCGAACGGGUGAGUAAUACGUAGGUUAUCUACCCUCAAGACGGGGACAACCCAGGGAAACUUGGGCUAAUACCGGAUGUGAGCAACUUUUAGUUGUUUGAAAGGUGGCGUAAGCUGUCGCUUGGGGAUGAGCCUGCGUCCUAUUAGUUAGUUGGUGAGGUAACGGCUCACCUAGGCAAUGAUAGGUAGGCGGCCUUAACGGGUGGUCGCCCACACUGGGAUUGAGAUACGGCCCAGACUCCUACGGGAGGCAGCAGUCGAGAAUAGUCUACAAUGGUCGGAAGACUGAUAGUGCGACGCCGCGUGAACGAUGAAUCCCUUCGGGGUGUAAAGUUCUUUUAUAUGUGAGCAGUGCUUCUUAUAUUAACAGUAUGGGGAGAGAGAUAUUAGCAUAUGAAUAAGCAACGGCUAACUCCGUGCCAGCAGCCGCGGUAAU